GAUAACUGCGCAGUCGAGAAGGGUCCGGCAGCAGGUCGCAGACUUGGCCUUCCACGCUCCGCCCCACGACCGCCCACAGUCCGUAGAAAGAGAAGGCGAAGAGCGGCUGUACAGUUUUUCCAAUUCUAAAAAGAAAAGGAGCUGAAAAUGUUUUCCGCCACGGAAUAAUGGCACAACAGAACACCAGACAUAUUUCUCCAUAAAGGCAGAGAAUAUAAAAACAACUUUGAUUACAUUGAUUAAAUAUCCGAAUGAAUCCAAGUGUCCUCUUUGUAAAAAGCAAAGAGACUACAGCAUCCUGCUGCCUGCCUUCAGAGUCAUGAAGACCACAUUGUCAAGUAUGCAGGUUUCCAAAGGACCACUUUGUGGUGUCUCUGUACUUCAUCCUCGAGGCUCCCUUCAGUUUUAACGAGGUGUGUCUCAACUUUAGUCCUCUCUUCUUUAAUUGUAGUAUUUGUAGAG